rnacentral:tRNA from 1 species
GUUCGGUGGAUUGGCGUCAAUUUAUUUCUUCCGAGAAGGAAGAUGAAGUUGAUUCCGUCCCCGAACC